rnacentral:rRNA from 1 species
UACGUAGGGCGCAAGCGUUGUCCGGAAUUAUUGGGCGUAAAGAGCUCGUAGGUGGCUUGUCGCGUCUGCCGUGAAAGCCCGUGGCUUAACUACGGGUCUGCGGUGGAUACGGGCAGGCUAGAGGCUGGUAGGGGCAAGCGGAAUUCCUGGUGUAGCGGUGAAAUGCGCAGAUAUCAGGAGGAACACCGGUGGCGAAGGCGGCUUGCUGGGCCAGUUCUGACGCUGAGGAGCGAAAGCGUGGGGAGCGAACAGGAUUAGAUACCCUGGUAGUCCACGCUGUAAACGUUGGGCGCUAGGUGUGGGGGUCUUCCACGAUUCCUGUGCCGUAGCUAACGCAUUAAGCGCCCCGCCUGGGGAGUACGGCCGCAAGGCUAAA